GAUGAACGCUGGCGGCGUGCCUAAUACAUGCAAGUCGAACGAACAGACGAGGAGCUUGCUCCUCUGACGUUAGCGGCGGACGGGUGAGUAACACGUGGAUCACCUACCUAUAAGUCUUGGAUAACUUCGUGAAACCGGAUCUAAUACCGGAUAAUAUAUUGCACCGCAUGGUUCAAUGGUUAAAGACGGCUUUGCUGUCACUUAUAGAUGGUUCCGCGCCGCAUUAGCUAGUUGGUAAGGUAACGGCUUACCAAGGCAACGAUGCGUAGCCGACCUGAGAGGGUGAUCGGCCACACUGGAACUGAGACACGGUCCAGACUCCUACGGGAGGCAGCAGUAGGGAAUAUUACGCAAUGGGCGAAAGCCUGACGGAGCAACGCCGCGUGAGUGAUGAAGGUCUUCGGAUCGUAAAGCUCUGUUAUUAGGGAAGAACAAAUGUGUAAGUAAAUAUGCACGUAUUGACGGUACCUAAUCAGAAAGCCACGGCUAACUACGUG
rnacentral:rRNA from 1 species